rfam:Triticum aestivum genome assembly, contig: Triticum_aestivum_CS42_TGACv1_scaffold_062002_1DL
AACAUACUCCCUCCGUUCCAUAUUAAUUGUCGCUGAAAUGAAUGUAUGUAGACAUAUUUUAUUGCUAGAUACAUCCGUUUGAGCGGCAACUAAUAUGGAACGGAGGGAGUAUGUC